rnacentral:rRNA from 1 species
GACGAACGCUGGCGGCGUGCCUAAUACAUGCAAGUUGAGCGAUGAAGAUUGGUGCUUGCACCAAUUUGAAGAGCAGCGAACGGGUGAGUAACGCGUGGGGAAUCUGCCUUUGAGCGGGGGACAACAUUUGGAAACGAAUGCUAAUACCGCAUAACAACUUUAAACAUAAGUUUUAAGUUUGAAAGAUGCAAUUGCAUCACUCAAAGAUGAUCCCGCGUUGUAUUAGCUAGUUGGUGAGGUAAAGGCUCACCAAGGCGAUGAUACAUAGCCGACCUGAGAGGGUGAUCGGCCACAUUGGGACUGAGACACGGCCCAAACUCCUACGGGAGGCAGCAGUAGGGAAUCUUCGGCAAUGGACGAAAGUCUGACCGAGCAACGCCGCGUGAGUGAAGAAGGUUUCGGAUCGUAAAACUCUGUUGGUAGAGAAGAACGUUGGUGAGAGUGGAAAGCUCAUCAAGUGACGGUAACUACCCAGAAAGGGACGGCUAACUACGUG